GAGUUUGAUCGUGGCUCAGAUUGAACGCUGGCGGCAUGCCUUACACAUGCAAGUCGAACGGCAGCACGGGAGCUUGCUCCUGGUGGCGAGUGGCGAACGGGUGAGUAAUGCAUCGGAACGUAUCCUGGAGUGGGGGAUAACGUAGCGAAAGUUACGCUAAUACCGCAUAUUCUGUGAGCAGGAAAGCGGGGGACCUUCGGGCCUCGCGCUCUUGGAGCGGCCGAUGUCGGAUUAGCUAGUUGGUGAGGUAAAGGCUCACCAAGGCGACGAUCCGUAGCAGGUCUGAGAGGAUGAUCUGCCACACUGGAACUGAGACACGGUUCAGACUCCUACGGGAGGCAGCAGUGGGGAAUUUUGGACAAUGGGGGCAACCCUGAUCCAGCCAUGCCGCGUGAGUG
rnacentral:rRNA from 1 species